CGACUAAGCGUACACGGUGGAUGCCCUGGCAGUCAGAGGCGAUGAAGGACGUGCUAAUCUGCGAUAAGCGUCGGUAAGGUGAUAUGAACCGUUAUAACCGGCGAUUUCCGAAUGGGGAAACCCAGUGUGAUUCGUCACACUAUCAUUAACUGAAUCCAUAGGUUAAUGAGGCGAACCGGGGGAACUGAAACAUCUAAGUACCCCGAGGAAAAGAAAUCAACCGAGAUUCCCCCAGUAGCGGCGAGCGAACGGGGAGCAGCCCAGAGCCUGAAUCAGUGUGUGUGUUAGUGGAAGCGUCUGGAAAGGCGUGCGAUACAGGGUGACAGCCCCGUACACAAAAAUGCACAUACUGUGAGCUCGAUGAGUAGGGCGGGACACGUGGUAUCCUGUCUGAAUAUGGGGGGACCAUCCUCCAAGGCUAAAUACUCCUGACUGACCGAUAGUGAACCAGUACCGUGAGGGAAAGGCGAAAAGAACCCCGGCGAGGGGAGUGAAAAAGAACCUGAAACCGUGUACGUACAAGCAGUGGGAGCACGCUUAGGCGUGUGACUGCGUACCUUUUGUAUAAUGGGUCAGCGACUUAUAUUCUGUAGCAAGGUUAACCGAAUAGGGGAGCCGAAGGGAAACCGAGUCUUAACUGGGCGUUAAGUUGCAGGGUAUAGACCCGAAACCCGGUGAUCUAGCCAUGGGCAGGUUGAAGGUUGGGUAACACUAACUGGAGGACCGAACCGACUAAUGUUGAAAAAUUAGCGGAUGACUUGUGGCUGGGGGUGAAAGGCCAAUCAAACCGGGAGAUAGCUGGUUCUCCCCGAAAGCUAUUUAGGUAGCGCCUCGUGAAUUCAUCUCCGGGGGUAGAGCACUGUUUCGGCAAGGGGGUCAUCCCGACUUACCAACCCGAUGCAAACUGCGAAUACCGGAGAAUGUUAUCACGGGAGACACACGGCGGGUGCUAACGUCCGUCGUGAAGAGGGAAACAACCCAGACCGCCAGCUAAGGUCCCAAAGUCAUGGUUAAGUGGGAAACGAUGUGGGAAGGCCCAGACAGCCAGGAUGUUGGCUUAGAAGCAGCCAUCAUUUAAAGAAAGCGUAAUAGCUCACUGGUCGAGUCGGCCUGCGCGGAAGAUGUAACGGGGCUAAACCAUGCACCGAAGCUGCGGCAGCGACGCUUAUGCGUUGUUGGGUAGGGGAGCGUUCUGUAAGCCUGUGAAGGUGUGCUGUGAGGUAUGCUGGAGGUAUCAGAAGUGCGAAUGCUGACAUAAGUAACGAUAAAGCGGGUGAAAAGCCCGCUCGCCGGAAGACCAAGGGUUCCUGUCCAACGUUAAUCGGGGCAGGGUGAGUCGACCCCUAAGGCGAGGCCGAAAGGCGUAGUCGAUGGGAAACAGGUUAAUAUUCCUGUACUUGGUGUUACUGCGAAGGGGGGACGGAGAAGGCUAUGUUGGCCGGGCGACGGUUGUCCCGGUUUAAGCGUGUAGGCUGGUUUUCCAGGCAAAUCCGGAAAAUCAAGGCCGAGGCGUGAUGACGAGGCACUACGGUGCUGAAGCAACAAAUGCCCUGCUUCCAGGAAAAGCCUCUAAGCAUCAGGUAACAUCAAAUCGUACCCCAAACCGACACAGGUGGUCAGGUAGAGAAUACCAAGGCGCUUGAGAGAACUCGGGUGAAGGAACUAGGCAAAAUGGUGCCGUAACUUCGGGAGAAGGCACGCUGAUACGUAGGUGAAGCGACUUGCUCGUGGAGCUGAAAUCAGUCGAAGAUACCAGCUGGCUGCAACUGUUUAUUAAAAACACAGCACUGUGCAAACACGAAAGUGGACGUAUACGGUGUGACGCCUGCCCGGUGCCGGAAGGUUAAUUGAUGGGGUUAGCGCAAGCGAAGCUCUUGAUCGAAGCCCCGGUAAACGGCGGCCGUAACUAUAACGGUCCUAAGGUAGCGAAAUUCCUUGUCGGGUAAGUUCCGACCUGCACGAAUGGCGUAAUGAUGGCCAGGCUGUCUCCACCCGAGACUCAGUGAAAUUGAACUCGCUGUGAAGAUGCAGUGUACCCGCGGCAAGACGGAAAGACCCCGUGAACCUUUACUAUAGCUUGACACUGAACAUUGAGCCUUGAUGUGUAGGAUAGGUGGGAGGCUUUGAAGUGUGGACGCCAGUCUGCAUGGAGCCGACCUUGAAAUACCACCCUUUAAUGUUUGAUGUUCUAACGUGGACCCGUGAUCCGGGUUGCGGACAGUGUCUGGUGGGUAGUUUGACUGGGGCGGUCUCCUCCUAAAGAGUAACGGAGGAGCACGAAGGUUGGCUAAUCCUGGUCGGACAUCAGGAGGUUAGUGCAAUGGCAUAAGCCAGCUUGACUGCGAGCGUGACGGCGCGAGCAGGUGCGAAAGCAGGUCAUAGUGAUCCGGUGGUUCUGAAUGGAAGGGCCAUCGCUCAACGGAUAAAAGGUACUCCGGGGAUAACAGGCUGAUACCGCCCAAGAGUUCAUAUCGACGGCGGUGUUUGGCACCUCGAUGUCGGCUCAUCACAUCCUGGGGCUGAAGUAGGUCCCAAGGGUAUGGCUGUUCGCCAUUUAAAGUGGUACGCGAGCUGGGUUUAGAACGUCGUGAGACAGUUCGGUCCCUAUCUGCCGUGGGCGCUGGAGAACUGAGGGGGGCUGCUCCUAGUACGAGAGGACCGGAGUGGACGCAUCACUGGUGUUCGGGUUGUCAUGCCAAUGGCACUGCCCGGUAGCUAAAUGCGGAAGAGAUAAGUGCUGAAAGCAUCUAAGCACGAAACUUGCCCCGAGAUGAGUUCUCCCUGACCCUUUAAGGGUCCUGAAGGAACGUUGAAGACGACGACGUUGAUAGGCCGGGUGUGUAAGCGCAGCGAUGCGUUGAGCUAACCGGUACUAAUGAACCGUGAGGCUUAACCUUACAACGCCGAAG
rnacentral:rRNA from 1 species